AUGCGUGGGAAGAAGUUACCGCCGAAAUUGGAUGCGACCUGCAAGAAAAAAAUCUACAGGCUAGGGAAGAGCCUGCGGGAUACAUUCACGAAAAAGUACCGGGUGCACAAACACGGCGCCCCGAGUGGCUCAGGUGCAAGUGACAGGAAGGAAUUUAAUGAUGCAAGCGUGAGCUGGCCUUAUUUCACCUUGCUGAAGUUCUUAAAAGAUCAGGCGAAAGUUGGCAGGAGCGCGGGAAGAACAGGAGGAGGACGAAAGUUGCAGUGCCCCUACAAGCUUCGUAGAAGAAAGUAGUGUUGAGGAAAGGACGUCAAAUAGUCACGACACAGCAGCAUCACACUCCAGCUCCAUAAAACAUGUCUCAGAAACUCCGAGGAGGAGGCGAGCCCAGAAGGCAAACAGGGGUACGUGGGAACAAGAACUGGACAGAGUUGACACCCAAAUGGUCGCUAACAGCCACAAAGCAGCCUUGUACGGACAGCUGUUGGCAGAAAAAUUUCGCUCUUGCCCUAAAAGGCUAAAGCCAGAAAUGGAACUUGAACACUUGUAUUUCUUAAAGAAAUACACGUUCGAAGAACCUCAAU